rnacentral:rRNA from 1 species
GACCUAGUAAUAGGUAUGCUUAAAGAGGAGCUUGCGUCACAUUAGUUAGUUGGUAGGGUAAAAGCCUACCAAGACUAUGAUGUGUAGCCGGGCUGAGAGGUCAAACGGCCACAUUGGGACUGAGACACGGCCCAAACUCCUACGGGAGGCAGCAGUAAGGAAUUUUCGGCAAUGGAGGAAACUCUGACCGAGCAACGCCGCGUGAACGAUGAAGUAUUUCGGUACGUAAAGUUCUUUUAUUAGGGAAGAAAAGAUGGUGGAAAAACCAUUAUGACGGUACCUAAUGAAUAAGCCCCGGCUAACUAUGUGCCAGCAGCCGCGGUAAUACAUAGGGGGCAAGCGUUAUCCGGAAUUAUUGGGCGUAAAGGGUGCGUAGGCGGUUAAAUAAGUUUAUGGUCUAAGUGCAAUGCUCAACGUUGUGAUGCUAUAAAAACUGUUUAGCUAGAGUUGGAUAGAGGCAAGUGGAAUUCCAUGUGUAGUGGUAAAAUGCGUAAAUAUAUGGAGGAACACCAGGAGCGAAGGCGGCUUGCUGGGUCUUAACUGACGCUGAGGCACGAAAGCGUGGGGAGCAAACAGGAUUAGAUACCCUGGUAGUCCACGCCCUAAACGAUGAGUACUAAACGUUGGGUAAAACCAGUGUUGAAGUUAACACAUUAAGUACUCCGCCUGAGUAGUACGUACGCAAGUAUGAAACUUAAAGGAAUUGACGGGACUCCGCACAAGCGGUGGAUCAUGUUGUUUAAUUCGAAGGUACCCGAAAAACCUCACCAGGUCUUGACAUGCUUUUGCAAAGCUGUAGAAAUACAGUGGAGGUUAUCAAUUGCACAGGUGGUGCAUGGUUGUCGUCAGCUCGUGUCGUGAGAUGUUGGGUUAAGUCCCGCAACGAGCGCAACCCUUGUUGUUAAUUGCCAGCAUGUAAUGAUGGGGACUUUAGCAAGACUGCCAGUGAUAAAUUGGAGGAAGGUGGGGACGACGUCAAAUCAUCAUGCCCCUUAUGACCUGGGCUACAAACGUGAUACAAUGGCUGUUACAAAGGGUAGCUAAAGCGCAAGCUUCUGGCGAAUCUCAAAAAAGCAGUCUCAGUUCGGAUUGAAGUCUGCAACUCGACUUCAUGAAGUUGGAAUCGCUAGUAAUCGCGAAUCAGCAUGUCGCGGUGAAUACGUUC